AACAGAGUGACCAGCCGUUUGGAAUGAGGAUCUUUGAAAGCAACUCGGCGCCUUCAAAGCACUUGGUGAAACCUAGCCUAAAGCGUUGUCCCACCAUGCUCUGCGGCGAUAACGGCCUUUGGCGGGAAAGAGUCUCGGAGGCGGGGCCAAAGGGGGACGGCCCGGGCGGUUGCUCCGGAAACCCGGGUAUCUUCGUAGGGUGCGUCUAAUCCAGAGCUGAGUUGCGGGUGAUUGAACGGAGAGCUGGGGCGUUGGUUUGUCUUCCCGCCCCUGCUGCGAAUAGACCGUGGCUGCUUAGACAGAUGUGUCUAAUUUAGCGAAACCGAUUUAGAUUCCUUAAUCCUCUUCAUUAAGUACCGUUCCGCCUUCUCGUCAGAACUUUGCAUAGCUCGGGUCAGCACUCCUAGUGCUAGUCGCAGUGGGUCCGUAUCCCGACCGGCAACGUGGUACCCGCCAACCAGAAGGGGUAACACCGUACCGCCUAUGGGACCCACACCUUUUUAUCUCUUGUUAGUCGCCUGUCCGUGGGACUAGCGCAGAAUGCCUGCAGAAUGAAUCGUUUCUGUUGUUUCCUUUCAAAGAACGAGAAGGAAGAAAGGGUGCGUGUGUGCAGUCCUUUUUUCAAAAGUUUUCCCUAAAAGUUACUGAUACACCAGGUUUUGAAAAUACCGGUCCUCUCAGGUAAUAAAAUGGAGCAAAAUGGAUGUGAGAACCGUAACCACUAGAUACCGCGGUUGCUAUUCAGGACUGUGAUCCUGUUUGCCUGCGGCAUUGGGAGAUAACAUUUUACAUUUUUUUUCGACGUCUGAAAUCUGGAUUUUUAUGUGAAAUCCUGGGAUUUUUAAACGUCGCUAAUGAAAACUAGAUGAGGCUGGGCGUGGUGGCUCACUCCUGUAAUCCCAGCACUUUGGGAGGCCGAGGCGGGCGGAUCACCUGAGGUCAGGAGUCGGAGACCAACAUGUCGAAACCCGUAUCUUCUAAAAAUACAAAACAUUAGCUGGGUAUGGUGGCGCGUGCCUGUAAUCCCAGCUACUCGGUAGGGUGAGACAGGACAAUCUCUUGAACCCUUAGGAGGUGGAGGCUGCAGUGAGCGGAAAUCACGCCACUGCACUCCAGCCUGGGUGACAGAACAAGACUCCAUCUCACACACACACAAAAAAAAUGCUAGAGUAAGAAAUCAGAGGAAUGGGAAAAUGAGGGGUGGAUUAAAUGAAAUACGCAUAAAUUACUAUACAAAAUGCCUGCAGUGAAAGCCCGUUGAAUUUGUUGAGAUAGAUUGCAAAUUUUACUUUAGUCUUCCCAGAAGUCACGGUAAAGAAGGGUACAGAAGUAUUGUGUAUUCAAAAUCCAAAGUGCCUUUGGGAUAAAAGUAAAUAGGUCAUUCAGGAGAAGGACAUGUUUUCUUAAUUCUAAAAGCUGAUGAAAUAUAUUUUACAAAUGUUUCUCGGUGACCCCAAAAUACAAAUUCAAUUUGAAAUGAGCAGGGAUGCUUGGUCUUGUGGCCGUAGAUCCUCGGUAUAUCUACAGAUGACCUUUGGUAAUCCUUG
rnacentral:lncRNA from 1 species